rnacentral:rRNA from 1 species
GCCAACGGUCAUACCACAUGGAAUACACCGGCUCUCGUCCGAUCGCCGCAGUUAAGCCAUGUUGGGCCAUGCUAGUACUAUCGUGCCUUUUCUUUCUUUUUUUUUUUUUUGUGCCUUUCUCGCGUGAAAAGCGAGCCAUCGCGGUCA